CGCGGGGUGGAGCAGCGGUAGCUCGUUGGGCUCAUAACCCAAAGGUCGCAGGUUCAAAUCCUGCCCCCGCAACCA
rnacentral:tRNA from 1 species